rnacentral:rRNA from 1 species
CAUGGCUCAGGACGAACGCUGGCGGCGUGCCUAAUACAUGCAAGUAGAACGCUGAAGGAAGGAGCUUGCUCUUUCCGGAUGAGUUGCGAACGGGUGAGUAACGCGUAGGUAACCUGCCUGGUAGCGGGGGAUAACUAUUGGAAACGAUAGCUAAUACCGCAUAACAGUAGAUAUCGCAUGAUAGCUGCUUAAAAGGUGCAAUUGCACCACUACCAGAUGGACCUGCGUUGUAUUAGCUAGUUGGUGAGGUAACGGCUCACCAAGGCAACGAUACAUAGCCGACCUGAGAGGGUGAUCGGCCACACUGGGACUGAGACACGGCCCAGACUCCUACGG